AAAAAUACUACCGUAAAAAAACAUAAAAGCAUACUACCGUUUUAAAAUGGUAGUCGACUUCAUCAGAGACAUUCCGGUGAUCUCUCUGUAGGGAAUGGAGGGGCCAGAGAGAGGAAGAAAGUAAGCAACGCCUGCAAGCAAUGGGGAAUUUUAAGGAUCUGGUGUGCACCAUGACUUCUUCGCCCUUCUCUCUCUAUCCCUAAUUUCUCUCCCUAAUUGUGAUGGGUAUAAUGUAAAUACCCCAGUUAUGAAUUAGGAAUACCCCUAAUUUCUUUUCACUUAAACAUAUCAAUGAACAGAAUGAUUUCCUUCCAUCCGCAAUGUUCAGAAUCAUCUGCGGAGGAAUGUUGUCCGAGAGAGUGAUGGCUCCGCAGUGUUCAGUCAACCUUUCUGAUGCCCUAUGCCCUGGAUCUGCUCCGACGCUUCUGCAGAGGAAUGUUGCAGCAGUGAUGGCAAAGAGGAGGAUAAAAGAAGCAGAAAUCUAAAGAGGAUAGUGUAAAUUAAUUUCUUAUAUCAAUUUUAAAAAUCUUUGACUAUAAAUUAGUGUAACAAUUCUCUACAGCAAUAGCUCAUGUUCAUUUUAAAGUAGAGCAAAUUUUAAUUUUACUGCUGCACUCCUAAAUCACUUGCUGAAAUCGGUAAAUUUAUUUGCACAUUAAUAUGUAAUGGAUUUAUUGUUUAAUAAAAUAAAAAAAUCUGGGAGGGGUUGAAUUGGCCCCCUCCUCAAGGCUGUA